GUCAAAAUCCUGAAUAAUCUAACCCUCAUAAAAUGGAUCUCUAAAAAAUAAGGCAUCUGCUACUCUACAGCUCAUAGGUUUUUUUUAAAAAAAACCUUAGGAACCCACAAUUUUAUGUCUGGAUUUCUGCAAGUAAUUUUUAAAUGGUUCCACAAAAAUUAUAAAAAGGAAAUGUACAUUGUGGAGACCUGCAUUUUUUCAUUUCUGCUGACAAAUACUCUAUUUAUACCUUCAGUUUAAAUUCUGAGUAAAAGGUUUCACUGUAUAAAGUAAACACGACAGUUAAUUAUAUGCUGUUAUCUUUGGUAUUUCUUUUCCCUCAGGUUUGAAGAGAUUAGGAAUGAUUGAGGAGAACCUGUUUGUUAACUACCUUAGGUUGUAACUCAAGUUUACAUAGAGUGCCUGACCUAAAUGACGCUUUUCUUUAAUGCAAACUAAGUUAAACAAUCAAAAUUCUGUAAAUCUGGGCUCUAGAAUCACACCUGAACUUACAUUUUAUGCACUACAACUUAGAGGAAAUUUAAAAAAAAUAUUGUAACCCUUCAAGUUAAAACAGGUUUUAUAAGAUUUACUUAACAGAGACUUUCAUGGCUCAGAAGUGUUUCAAGUUACUUUUGGGAAACAUAAUUCAUUACCUGAAAGAGCAAUUUCACUUUAACAAAAAUAAAUUUGAAUUUAUUUUCAAGAACAAAACUAUCUAUUUCUUCUACAUAAAACCUAAAUCCAAAGAGUUAAAAGGAGAAAUUCUAUGGUCAAUCAACCUUUUAAACUACUUUUUG